AACUUCACAACAUUAAGACAAAACAGGAUUGGUGCUGCUGUCAACCGAGGAAGGGUCUGGAGGUGAGAGCUGUUGGUGCGACACACUAAGGGCUUUGCAGGAUCAUGUUUACCCGUCGCCUGCCUUGGUGGAGAUCCAGUGCUACCUGCAAGCCGUGGCGGUCGGGUCGCUUUCUGCCUCGCGUCUGGGAGAGGUGCCAACCGCCGAGUCGUAAAGGGAUCAGCACGACCGCGGGGCAGGGGCAACAGGUUGGCAUGCAGGAGAAACAAGUAUUAGAAGAUCUGGAAAUGCCCCUUGCAAGGAGAGAAACCGAGACCCUCUUCCAAGAGCAGCCCCAGACUGGGAACCAGUAUUUGGAAGAUGCUUUGCUUCGGAGUUACUUGAAAACGCACCUUCCUCCCAAGGUACUGGAGGAGGUCAGUCGGGAUCUGGAGAGAUUUGGAAACCGUCUUCUAACCAAGAUCAAACCUCUAGGAUGGGAAUGCGAGUUGAACCCCCCUGUGUUUCGGCAGUAUGAUGCCUGGGGGCGGCGGGUGGAUCACAUUGUCACCUGCUCGGCCUGGAGGAGGAUGAAGGAGAUUGCGGCAGAAGAGGGGCUGAUUGCUGAGGCCUAUGAGAGAAGAUACUCCAACUGGAGCCGUCUGCAUCAGGCUGUCAAACUGUAUUUAUUUUCAAGCUCCUCUGGAGGUUUCAACUGUCCGCUGGCCAUGACUGAUGGGGCAGCCAAAGUCAUUGAGUCACUAGGUAUUCCCGGAUCUCUGAAAAAUGCUUUUGACCAUCUGACAUCCCGUGACCCCAAGAAGUUCUGGACCUCUGGCCAGUGGAUGACCGAGCGCAGGGGAGGCUCUGAUGUUGCUAAUGGCACUGAGACAGUGGCCAGAAAGCAGCCAGAUGGUACAUAUCGUCUCUAUGGUUUUAAAUGGUUUACAUCGGCUGCUGAUUCUGAUGUGACAUUAACCCUGGCCAGGGUAGCGGAUGCUGAAGGAAAAGUAAAACAGGGUUCCAGCGGCCUGUCCCUGUUCUUCCUGAAGGUUCGAGAUGAGGAGGGGAAGCUGAACAGCAUCCAAGUGCAAAGGCUGAAAGACAAGUUGGGCACGCGGCAGAUGGCAACAGCAGAGCUAUGGCUGGAUGGAGCUAAAGCAGAGCUAAUCUCUGCAGAGGGUCGUGGAGUGGCCUCCAUCUCCAACAUGCUGAACAUAACUCGGAUCCACAACGUCAUUGGUGCAGUAGCUUCCAUGAGAAGGAUGAUCAGUCUGAGCAGGGAGUAUGCCCGUAGGCGGGUUGCCUUUGGGAAGCUUCUCAAGGACCAUCCCCUACACAUGCAGACGAUAGCCCGGAUGGAGGUGCAGACACGAGGGGCGUUCCUUCUGCUUAUGGAGAUCGUUCGUCUGCUUGGACUUGUAGAAACCAACAUGGCGAGUGAGCAAGCCCAGCUUCUCUUGAGACUGCUGAUACCAGUCGCCAAACUGUACACUGGGAAGCAGGCUUCUGCUGUUGUUGUUGAGGCAAUGGAGAGUUUUGGAGGACAAGGUUACAUGGAGGACACAGGCUUGCCAGUCAUAGUCCGCGAUACUCUGGUGCUGUCCAUAUGGGAGGGAACAACAAAUAUCCUGUCACUUGAUGUCCUGCGGUCCCUCACCAAGAGUCAAGGGCAGGUGAUGGCUGCGUUCUUCUCCGCAGUGCAGCAAAAACUGGAGCUGGCUUCGAGCACGGCGAAACUGGAACCCGCCGUGAAGCAAACGCGGGAUGCCAUCAGCAGUCUUGCGCGGUUCACGCAAGCAGCUGGUUCCAAAGGGGCCGUGACCAUGGAGCUAGCAGCAAGAGACUUCUCCUACACCCUAGCGAGGAUCUAUGCAGGAGCUCUUCUAAUCGAACACGCAGCUCGGCCUGAUGCUUCCUCCACAGACAUCUCCGCUGCUCGAAGGUGGUGCAACCAGGAGCUGUGCCCCGUGGCCACGGAGUUAGAGAACAGCAGCUACGAGGCUGAGGAAGCGCUCGUGGACGGCGCGCUGGUGUACGAGGGCAGCCCUGCCUGCGGCGGCAGGCUGUGACUCACCGCAGGCAACUGGGAAGUCCAACCCCCAGGGGAAACAGAAGGUGGGUCACAAUCCAAAAAACCCAAAAAUAUCCAAAAAUCCUCAGACAGCCGCGAAUUACGGGCGUGGUGGGGACAUUCCACCGGGGGCCAGACCAAAUCCUUCUGGAGUAACCCCCAGGUUACUGGGGGGUUUGCACCACCUGCUCCAAUGUGAAAUCCACCGCUUUUGCGCCGAGUUAUUUGCUAACGCAGACACAGCCGCUGACGGUCAGCCCGAGACGCUGAAAUGUUCUUACCGUGUUCUAGGCAGAGACUAAGCGAUCAAAUCCAGGUAACGGCUGGAAAGCAGCAGCUCUUCAAGUGCCAACCGGUGGUCUUUUUAAAGAAAAGCAACCAAAAUCAAACUGAAAAUUAUUUGAAGCUGAUUAAAUACAGAAAAACACGGGUUUCCCCUGUUCACCUUCGUGCUCUCCAGUGCCAGACGUGGCCUUCCACCCUGGCACCUGCCAGGGACGGGGUCUUCUUCCGGGGCAGCCUCUAACGCCCACCGUGGCUGCGCGGAUGGUACGUCCCCUCGUACAAGCAACCUCCACGGGAACCGAUGGGCUGGGCUCAGGACCCCCGGCUCAGCGGCCCGUCCGGGCAACUCGUUGGGUAAAACAAAGGCUUUGUAACCCAAACUUUCCCGUUUUCCCAGCCAAGGCUAUUGUUAAGCGAGGUAGCCACGGGGCGCUGCCUAGGCUAGCUUGUGGGUUUGAUCUUUCCUUUUAUGUUCUACCUUGUCUCAAACGAGCUUUGCUUUUACUUCAUUAACCUGGAGUAGAGGCUUUACCUUCACGCGUGUUGCGGGGCGCCUUGUCCCCGCUAAAGCUGCUAACUCGGCCCCGCAGUCAGCCGGGACGGGCGAGGAAAACGUUCUCGACCUGCUGCAUUUCAAACACGGGAUAGAGCGAAUUGCCGUUUGCAGCUCUGUAAACGGUCGGCGUCAACGCUGCCCUGCAAAGCUGCUCUGUGACAGCUUAGGGGAGGAGGAAGCUUGCGCCUUCCCUAUGCCUGUGUCCUGGUGAUGCUGCAAUUCAUACCGAUUUAAAUUCUGACCUAAGUUUUAGACUGAAAUCCAGUGAUCCUCCACCAAAGCGAACACCCGCACACCGAUUGCGCGCUUCUCUUCACCCUCGGCCCGUCAGUCUACCUGCUGGGUAUUACCCUGACGACUGAAAGUUUUUAAUUAAAAAGUUGCUAGUAACAGAAGAAAAACAGUACUAGAACAAAGGCAGCUGGAAUAUAUAGCUGCGGAGUGCUACCGCAGCUAGGAUCUCGAGUGGGAGGGCAGGGAAGGAGCUGUUUGCUGAGCACAAGUUGUCCACCGUUUCACCGAGGCCAAAGUCCGCAGAUCCGGGAGGCCCCAGGCGACCGAACGCUG